UACGUAGGGGGCAAGCGUUGUCCGGAUUUAUUGGGCGUAAAGAGCGUGUAGGCGGCCAGGGAGGUCCGUUGUGAAAACUCGAGGCUCAACCUCGAGACGCCGAUGGAAACCCCCUGGCUAGAGUCCGGAAGAGGAGAGUGGAAUUCCUGGUGUAGCGGUGAAAUGCGCAGAUAUCAGGAAGAACACCCGUGGCUAAGGCGGCUCUCUAGUACGGUACUGACGCUGAGACGCGAAAGCGUGGGGAGCGAACAGG
rnacentral:rRNA from 2 species